rnacentral:rRNA from 1 species
GACGAACGCUGGCGGCGUGCCUAAUACAUGCAAGUAGAACGCACAGUUUAUACCGUAGCUUGCUACACCAUAGACUGUGAGUUGCGAACGGGUGAGUAACGCGUAGGUAACCUGCCUGGUAGCGGGGGAUAACUAUUGGAAACGAUAGCUAAUACCGCAUAAUAUUGAUUAUUGCAUGAUAAUUGAUUGAAAGAUGCUAUUGCAUCACUACCAGAUGGACCUGCGUUGUACUAGCUAGUAGGUGAGGUAACGGCUCACCUAGGCGACGAUACAUAGCCGACCUGAGAGGGGGAUCGGCCACACUGGGACUGAGACACGGCCCAGACUCCUACGGGAGGCAGCAGUAGGGAAUCUUCGGCAAUGGACGAAAGUCUGACCGAGCAACGCCGCGUGAGUGAAGAAGGUUUUCGGAUCGUAAAGCUCUGUUGUAAGAGAAGAACGGGUGUGAGAGUGGAAAGGUCACACUGUGACGGUAUCUUACCAGAAAGGGACGGCUAACUACG